GGGUCAGUAGGUUGGUCGUGCCACCGGUACGUACUGGUCUCACUGAUUCCUCCUUCCUGGCGAACCGUAAUGCCAUUAAUUUGGUGUUGCGGGGAAACAGGACUGUUACUUUGAAAAAAUUAGAGUGUUUAAAGCAAGCUAACGCUUGAAUACAUUAGCAUGGAAUAAUGAAAUAGGACGAUCGAUCCUAUUUUGUUGGUUUCUAGGAUUGACGUA
rnacentral:rRNA from 1 species